rnacentral:rRNA from 1 species
GACGAACGCUGGCGGCGUGCCUAAUACAUGCAAGUCGAACGCAGUGGGGACAGGUGAGUAACACGUGGGUAACCUCCCAUCAGAGGGGAUAAAACUUGGAAACAGGUGCUAAAACGAUACUGAUGGAUGGACCCGCGGUGCAUUAGCUAGUUGGUGCGGUAACGGCUCACCAAGGACACGAUGCAUAGCCGAACGGAGAGGGGGAUCGCCCAGACGGGAAUGGAGACACGGCCUAUCUGCCUACGGGAGUCGGCAGGAGGGAAUCUCCGGCAAUGGACGAAAGUCUGCCCGAGCAACCCCGUGUGAGUGAAGAGGGUUUUCGGAUCGUAAUACGCUGUUGUUAGAGAAGCGGUAUCUAACCAGAAAGCCACGGCUAACUACGUGCCAGCAGCCGCGGUAAUUC